AGAACAACUUGUCAGGUGGUGCAUUGGAGACUGAUGUGUUCCUGUCCUGUCUUUUCAUAAUACUAUUGCAGAUCGACAUAAAAGCCUAAAAGACAGCCGUGGUGUUGCUCUUCAUUUCUUGGUUCUCCUGUGGUGCAUAAGAAACCCGCUACAGAUUGGUGCCGUGACCCGGAUCAACAGAUCAGCUGCAGCAGAUCGCCGAGGGACCCCUAAACAGAACUGGAUCGACAUCACACGUUUAAAACAUUUGAGGGCAAGAACAACUUGUCAGGUGGUGCAUUGGAGACUGAUGUGUUCCUGUCCUGUCUUUUCAUAAUACUAUUGCAGGUAUGGUUCUAUUGUCUAAGAAUUAAGAUUAUACAUUCUUUGUAUUAAGGACUGGUUAUUAUUUUAUACUAUACAUUAUGGCUUUAUGUAU
rnacentral:lncRNA from 1 species